rnacentral:rRNA from 1 species
CAGCAGCGCGGUAAUACGUAGGGUGCGAGCGUUAAUCGGAUUUACUGGGCGUAAAGCGUGCGCAGGCGGCCCGUUAAGACAGGUGUGAAAUCCCUGGGCUCAACCUAGGAAUUGCGCUUGUGACUGGCGGGCUCGAGUACGGUAGAGGGGGGUGGAAUUCCUGGUGUAGCAGUGAAAUGCGUAGAGAUCAGGAGGAACACCGAUGGCGAAGGCAGCCCCCUGGGCCUGUACUGACGCUCAUGCACGAAAGCGUGGGGAGCAAACAGGAUUAGAUACCCUGGUAGUCCACGCCCUAAACGAUGGGUACUAGCCGUUUGGUGCGCGAUAGCGCUGAGUGGCGAAGCUAACGCGUGAAGUACCCCGCCUGGGGAGUACGGCCGCAAGGUUGAAACUUAAAGGAAUUGGCGGG